CACAUACGGUACACAUUGUAGUCCGGAAAAAAUAAAGGACUUCAUUCCUAUCAAACACCUUUUUAAUUGUUUACCAGUAUAUUUCUUUUAGUUUUGGGUAAAAUUGUAAAGAAAAUAAUACUAUCAAGACGUCCUUCCAUAAAUCUUUUUUUUCUGUUCUGACUUUGAAGAAAUGACUACUUUUCGCCCAAUCGAAAUGGUGCAUGGACAUAUUUUGUUUCAUAUUAUUAGAAUUAUUUUCAAUAUUAUCGGUAUUAAACUUGAUUAUCGACACAUAAAAGUUUGUCAGCAUUGUCAAUCUUUUUAACGUUAAAGUACCAAUAGUUCGGUCACUACUCAAUUAAGUUUGUCGAUAACGCAGCUAAUUUUGACGGUAAAGAAACAUCAAUUCGAUCACUUCUCUGUUACGGGCUGUA
rnacentral:lncRNA from 1 species